AAUAAAAUAAGAAUUGAGUCACUUACGAGAGAAGAGUCAGAAGAAACAAGAGAAACAGACCAGAACUAAGUUACUAAUAGAGAAAAAAAAGAAAGAAAGAAAGAGACUUGACUCUUCGGCCACUGGCGACGACUGAGACCGGAAGAAUAAAAAAAAAAGAUAGGACCGGCGACUGAGCGACGACGACGGUCCAACUGAGCUGAAGUCUUCGAAGGGGCAAAAUUCGAAUUUGGAGGAAGAAAAAAGAAUCAAUUUGAUCUCUCGUUUGCUUCUCUUCCAGAAUUCUCAGAAAAUAGUGGAGAAGAUGUCGAGGUUUCGUGCAUUGUGGCAAGCUUCAAUCAAUGCAACUAAAAGAGCUCUCACAUGGAACCUUGAAGACUUGGUCCCUCCCAGUGAAAGAUAUAUCUUCAAAUUUGACUCGAAGGAGGAGCUAAAGCGGUGGCAUUUAUAUUCAGAUUCUGAGUAUGGAGGUCUGUCAUCAGCAUCGCUGGAGAUAAAAGACUCAGUGAAUGGAUCAAGUGGGACUGGUGUAUUCUCUGGAAACCUUUCUUUGGAUGUUGAUGAAAGUUCAAGAUGGAACAUAAGUAGGAGUGGCUUCUGUGGAAUGAGAUCUAAAAAGUUUGAUGGCUUCAUUGAUUUGGAUGCCUACGACACAUUAGCCCUAAAAGUUAAAGGAGAUGGAAGAUGCUACAUUUCUACUAUUUAUACGGAGAAUUGGGUGAAUUCUCCUGGACAACAGGAAGAUAACUCGUGGCAGGCAUUUGUUUUUGUGCCUGAAGGCAACUGGUAUAUUGCGAAGAUUCCUCUUGCUCGAUAUCUGCCGACAUGGAGAGGCAAUGUGAUAGACGCAAAGCUCGAGAUGAACCCAUCUCGAGUUGUCGGCAUGUCUCUGUCGGUCAAUGCAGAAGGUGGAGUUCCAGGUGCUAGAUCUGGUCCAGGUGAUUUUCGAGUUGAAAUUGAUUGGAUUAAAGCUUUGAGAAUGCAGAGUUAACCCCCCAGUGCCCAGAGACCAAAGAAUAAGCAUGGCAAAAGUUAUUACUGCUUACCAUACGGAUGCUAGUGAUCAGAUGUAUAACUGUAGCAAUAUCAAAAUGGAGUUUGGUAAGUGUCAUUUGACACACAUAUCAAUUUUGACUGAAAUUAGUUGAAGUUAAGGAAUUAGGUUUUGAUAAACGCAUUACUUGGUUUUCAGUUGAUUAACCUGAUGAGAUAUGCUGCAUUAACUUUCUCCCUUAUUCAAUACUGAAGAACCCUCUAAAUUCAUGGCUGAGCACAAGAAGUUAGCAACACUCAACUUUGGAUGGUUGGAAAUGAACUAGAGAAUGGGACAUUGUGGAUUCUUUGUGAAUUGUGGACCAUGGUAUUGACUUAUCUUUCUUACUCUGCAAAUAUGUAUCUGCUUUCUUUUGUUUCUUUUUCAAUGAGCCAUCUUUCUCCAGAGCAGUAACAUUCCAUCUCCCGUUUCUGGUUUAAUUUCUUGAUUUUCCUAUCAACCAGUUAUGGGCAUCAAAGAAAGAGAAGAUGACUUGACUCCUCUGAUACAACUAUUUUAACCUUUUCGACUUUGUCAAUUUUGUGGUCUCCCUUUCUUGUGGUUGGAGUUGCGAUUGCUGUGCGCCCGUGGGACGUGAUUUCGACCCCAUUUGAGUCCUUUUGUACCAUUAGAUCACGUGGGCAUUUCCCCACUCCACCUGGACCCACUGCACACAGGAAACAAACAUGGUUGGGAUGAAAGUUGUGAAAGAUGAUGUCUUAGAAUAAUGAGGUGAAAUCAUGGUGGAGAAGAACCAAACAGAAACAGUAGCUUCGACCGUGUAACGUCAGCUGCAAUUUUGGGUGGCUGCAAAUUGUUUGAGACUGAAGAUUAGUAAAUGUAAGUGCAAGUUGCCCACUUGUUAUUUUACUCCAAGAAAACACCCACUCAUCUAUCAAA